rnacentral:lncRNA from 1 species
AUGGAAGGCAGAAUCAUCAGAAAUUACAGUGACAGGGGUUCCUGCUCGGUAGUAUGCCGAAAAGACAGCCUGGGGGCAGCGAGCUGGGGCGUGGCAAGGAGACCAACUGGAAUGACGGGAGAGCCCUAGUGGAUGCACAGUGCACCGCUCUUACACCACAAGCCUCCCGCCCCAGCAUGAUUUAACCCGUGAAGAAAGCAGAGCAUUUAAUAUGUUCUACAGAUGUUUUAAAAAAGGAAUAACGGCGCUUGUCCCAAGUGUGGGAUGGAGGCACACACUCUUCUGAGAUGUGAAGCAAAUUUCAUAUCUCAAAAGAGAAAAAGGACAACAGUUCCUGCUCAGUCACCAAGUCUGAUUCUCAACCCUGGAACGCCUCAGCCUGCCUGAGCCCAGAAAUGAGGCUCCUUGUGAACACUAUGGAAAUGCAAUGGCUGUUUUGAUUUUCCAUAAUGGACAGCACACUGGUCCAGGAGGCAUAUCCAAUCUAAAUGAACUAGCAUCUGUGAAACUUCCUAGCACAGUCCCAGCACAUCGCAGGAGCUGAACUAAUGUUCUUUUCCCUUCCCAAGGAACCCUGAAGCCUUUGAAGGAACCGUGAUUGGGAAGGCAUCAGCAUUUGCUUUUCGCUGGUAUAAAUUUGGACCACUGGUCUGCCCGGGGUGUCCCCUGCCAGUGGUCGUGGACUGCUAGGGAAGCACAGCACACCCCCCAACACCCCCCCGCAAGGAAGACCCCUCAUUGCCCACCAAUGUCCUCUUUCUGGCGUCCCUCACGUUCCUGGCCGAGACCCUCCGUUCAGUCACGCCAUGAGGUCAGGGCCACGGUUGCCAUUGUCUGCUGGAAGCCAGUGCAGCACUUGGAGCUUAGAAGAUGCACACAACUCUUUGUUAAAGAACAAAGAAAUGGGAGAAACUUUUUAAAAGAAAAUAAACAGAGAGAAAGAGGGUGAGACGAAGACUGUGGCUGAGGCUUUGUUUUCAGGCCGAAAGCAGGACACUCAGCUCAUUCUCAAUGAAACUUCAACAUCGAUAAUUCAAAUGUCUUAGAAAUUGUACAUUGGAAGGGGAAAUAAAAUGAUUUUUCAGCUCUUUUAGGCUUACAGAUACCUAAAUGAAGCAUAGAUUGUAGAAUGUUGUUCAGAAGGGAAUUAAAUUUGGAUUUCAUCCUUCCCAGGGACUGGGGGCACUGCUUGUCACUUUGACUCAAAUGGAGAGUCCCUGCCACUGCUUGCUUGCCUUCAUCUGACCACACUGUGCUAAGCGCCCAGCCCCAGGGUAUAGCUGAGCCCUGCACCAGCUGCAGUGAACCGCUUGGCCGGGUGCCCUCUUAGAUCCUCCCUGCCCUGUUCCCUGGCUCUCUGUCCCCUGCGGUCCUCUUCUCUAGGACUGUUGAAACUUCUCCGCAUCUGGUCAGCUUCACACAAAAGGGCUCCUAUUUUACAGGCUGAGAGCCCCUUCCUGUGUGUUGUCAAAACUGACACAUCGCAUUGCUUAGGUUUAAUCUUCAGGUACUUUUUCUGUUUUUUUACCUAUAAAAUUAAUAUAAGCAUAUGCUCCCGUAAUCAACACAAUUUAGAUAAAGCAAGAGUUCCUCUGGGCCCUCCCACUUCCAUUUGCAUUUUCUUUUCUGUGGACUAACUGGUCAUCUUCUUUAUCCACUUGUCUAUGAGGUUGUUGAUCUUGGUCUUUUUUCUUAUUAACAGAUAGGAAUUCUUCAUAGAGCCUAGAUAACAAUCCAGAAUUCAUGUGUAUACGCACGCAUUUAUCUAUAUGUAUAUGUAUAAGCACAUUACACACAUACAUUUGCACACAUACAAAUGUUAGAAAUAUCUUCUCCAACUCUGUUGCUUGUCUUUUAUCUCAGCUUAUAGAGGUUUCCGAUUUUGAAUCAGAAGUUUCACAUUUCAUUGAAGGUAGACAUCACUCUUUCUCUAUUUGCUUUUGUGAUUUGUGUCUUGCUCAAGGCCUUCCCUGUCCUACCCCCAUGUCAAAAGCAUGUUCUCCACUAUUUUCUUUCAGUCCUUAAUCUUUCUUCCGUAGGUAGCCAAUGUCCAGCACGUUUGGUAAUGACACCUCCUCGGUGAAGCGCAAGGCCACCUUGACCCCAGCUCCCAUGGGUCUGUCUUCAGGGGAAUUUUGAGGUUGUUUUUGCUGCAGGGUGUCAGGAACUCCUUCCUCUCUGAUUCUUGGAAAAGUUUACUGUUUGCUGCUGGCUUUGUGGUCUCUCCUCCCUGUGCAGGUAGGGUGUGGAGGGUAAUCAGAGUCAGUCCAGAGGUUGCUCAAAGUUUCAGUUUAUCUCCAGCCACUAUUUGCUAACUCAUCUGAGAAUUCUGCCAAGAUAAACAUCAGACAGACCCUCCUAUGGUUCAAUCAGUCUGCUCCUGGGAAAAUUAGGACAUGUGUCUGCCCGGCUCUGCUGGUGUUCCUGAGAGUGACUGGUCUCUGUGUGACCUUUCAUUGGCCAGGCUCCCCCAAGGGAAACGUCCACCAGCAGAAAAAGUAGGAAAAAAAUCCCUUUAUGCAGAGAAAAUACACUGCAGAAACAAACAUAGUCUAACCCUGCCUUUUAAAACAUAGCUUUUAGACUGAAAGAGUUCACCCUUCCUCUCUCCACCUGGUCACUCUUGGGAUGACAAUUUCAAAUCCCACAUAACAUUCACAGUGUGUUAUUCCCAUGCAAUUACCUUGUUAGGUUUCAUACAUUUAGAACACGGAGGGGGACAGGGGAUGCUUCUCCGCAGUCUCUUCGUUAUUGGGACAUACUCCAACGCUCAGACAGCUCCACAAUGCACCUUUCUCCCACUCUUCAUUCCUUUUCUGGCAACACUCUUUCUCUCUCAGAGGAUUUUAAAAACAUGUCUUGUUACAAAAAGCAAAGAAUGACAGUUGCUUCAGAAAAAUACCCAACUGAAAGAUCCACUCCCUGACCAUGGAGAGCUCACUACAGAUCUAGAAACGCGAGGCAGAGACUUGAAGAUGCUGCACACAUCCUGUGUGGGAGUGGGAGAAAAGCUGCUGCUUCCUUAGCAUUAAAACAGACAGGGUCAUUUCAGCCUUGCAGGGGAUGACCAGCCCUCACUGGAAUUAUGUGAUGGCAUCACAUUUGCUCCUCAUGUAAACAUUCCAGCGGGAGAACGACUGCUCCCUGAAGACACUCAUGGUGUGAUAAACAGCAGUCAGUGGAAUCAAGGCAGGGGCGAGGUCCUCUUCCUUCUGCCUCCUUCUCACCAUGGCACCUUGAGAGAGGCCCUUUGUCCCUCGGGUUUUUCCAUUUUCUCAUUUGCAAAAUGAAGAGGAUCCCAUCUACACCGUCGUGUUUAGAAAUGACACAAGAUCACAAAAACCUCUGCCGCCUCGAAGAUACAGAAUUGCUGGUGAGGCUCGUUGUCUGAGAGCCGGGCUCUGCUCCCCUCGGGGCCAAGUCUACCAAUUGUUCUUUGGAAAACAAAAGCUGGAGGCAUUAAAACUGGGCUGUUCCAAGUGUUCUUUACGUUUUAUAAAUUUUAUAAGGUGAAACUCAAUAUUUAGAUGAUUGGUAGAAACGUCUCUUGGGGGCUUUAUGGUUUUCUAACAUAGAGUGGGGGGACAUGUUACCUCGGCAGGAGCAUGUGGGCUGAGAGGAGGGAACCACAUCAGGGAGGCCGGUGACUGGAGAGGGAAGUCCUCCUCCUGUGGAGGGCCUGGCCCUCAUGGAUUCCCCACUUCCAGGCAACUUUGUGACCUCAGAGAAGCUAACCUGAUGUGCAUGCUACUGACGUUGCCCAUGCCGCUCCUGCUGGCUGAUGGAACUAUCUGUCUGGAGUCUGUGGAUGGCAGACCUCCUGAUUGUGUGGAGCGUGAGUUUUUCGAAAGAGAUCUCUCACUUUCAUCCAGGCUGGAGUGUAGUGGCACACACCACCACACCAGGAUAAUUCUU